UACGUAGGGGGCUAGCGUUGUCCGGAAUCAUUGGGCGUAAAGAGCGCGUAGGCGGCCAGAUAAGUCCGGUGUGAAAGUCACAGGCUCAACCUGUGAAUGCCGCUGGAAACUGUCUGGCUAGAGUCCGGAAGGGGCGAGUGGAAUUCCUGGUGUAGCGGUGAAAUGCGCAGAUAUCAGGAGGAACACCAAUGGCGAAGGCAGCUCGCUGGAACGGUACUGACGCUGUGGCGCGAAAGCGUGGGGAGCAAACGG
rnacentral:rRNA from 1 species